GAUCCCUUAGCUCAGCGGUAGAGCAUCUGAUUCCAGUGUUGGGGUUUCCAGAAGGUCGUCCGUUCAAUCCGGGCAGGGAUCA